rnacentral:rRNA from 1 species
CUCCUACGGGAGGCAGCAGUAGGGAAUCUUGCACAAUGGGCGAAAGCCUGAUGCAGCAACGCCGCGUGAAGGAUGAAGGCCUUCGGGUUGUAAACUUCUGUACUAAGGGAAGAAGAAAGUGACGGUACCUAAGGAGAAAACCCCGGCUAACUACGUGCCAGCAGCCGCGGUAAUACGUAGGGGGCAAGCGUUAUCCGGAAUUAUUGGGCGUAAAGAGUGCGUAGGUGGUUAUCUAAGCGUAAGGUUUAAGCGUGCAGCUCAACUGCAUCUCGCCUUGCGAACUGGACUACUUGAGUGCAGGAGGGGAAAGCGGAAUUCCUAGUGUAGCGGUGAAAUGCGUAGAUAUUAGGAGGAACACCAGCGGCGAAGGCGGCUUUCUGGACUGUAACUGACACUGAGGCACGAAAGCGUGGGGAGCAAACAGGAUUAGAUACCCUGGUAGUCCACGCCGUAAACGAUGAGCACUAGAUGUUGGUCCCGAAGGGAUCAGUGUCGCAGUUAACGCAAUAAGUGCUCCGCCUGGGGAGUACGCUCGCAAGAGUAAAACUCAAAGGAAUUGACGGGGACCCGCACAAGCAGCGGAGCAUGUGGUUUAAUUCGAAGCAACGCGAAGAACCUUACCAGGACUUGACAUCCCGAUGACCGUUCCUUAACCGGAACUUCUCUACGGAGCAUCGGUGACAGGUGGUGCAUGGUUGUCGUCAGCUCGUGUCGUGAGAUGUUGGGUUAAGUCCCGCAACGAGCGCAACCCUUGUCGUCAGUUACUAACAUUCAGUUGAGGACUCUGGCGAGACUGCCGAGGUUAACUCGGAGGAAGGUGGGGAUGACGUCAAAUCAUCAUGCCCCUUAUGUUCUGGGGCUACACACGUGCUACAAUGGUCGGUACAAUGAGAUGCAAACCUGUGAGGGGGAGCAAAUCACCAAAACCGAUCCCAGUUCGGAUUGUAGGCUGAUACUCGCCUACAUGAAGUUGGAGUUGCUAGUAAUCGCAGAUCAGAAUGCUGCGGUGAAUGCGUUCCCGGGCCUUGUACACACCGC